ensembl:lncRNA LOC108349392 uncharacterized LOC108349392
CCCCCACCCCACCCCAUACUCUGUCUCUACUACCCUCUCAAUUCCCCUCCCCAUGUCCUGAGUAAACUAUUUUAUACUGUGCUAUGGUGAGGCUGGUCCCUCAGCAGGAAGGGAUGUCUCACCAUUGGCCCUUGGAGGCACCCCUUCUCCCACACCUUACUGCACCUCCACCAAACAUAUUCCUUCUCUCCUUAUCUUUAUAUAAAACACAACACUGGACGUGCCUGCUCUUCCUACCUUAGAAAGAUUAUUCCUGUUUUUUGUUGGUAACUGGCAUGUCCAGGUCACAGACAUCUGUGUUUGCUACUUCACAAAUCUGUCUUUCUUCAUCACAGUUCCUGGAAAGUGACCUGAGUAGAAGAGAGAGCCCAUAUGGGGGAAGGAAAAAGAAACAGAGAAGAGCUCCUCCGAGGACCACACCUCAGGGGCUGAACUUCCUCAGAGUCUUGCUGCUGCUAAGAUCCAGGGAAUAUCUUGCCUUCCAGCCCUCCAGCCCAUGGAGGAAGGCCCUGCAAUGACAGAGCCCCUGGGGAAAGAAUGCCAGGUGCAUCCAGGAACUGGCAGACACAGAGCUCCUGAUGGUCCCAGGGCUUCACUUAGCAUGGUUCCUGUUGCUAAGCAAUGGAAGUGCUGGACCUGUCAUCUAUCAUCUGCUGUCCAGCACUCCAGGGAUGCCCUGUGAAGUUCAAAUCUUCCAUGAACCAUCUCUCUCCCAAAGGCGUCUGGUCCACAGAAGGAAGCCAGGUCUCCCGGAUGACUGCAUCGUUGUUCCAUGGAGCUUUUAAAAUGCAAGUGUCCUGAAUGGCAGUGGUGCCAGGUGACAGCUGUGGGCACACCUCAUCCUGAAGCGCUGUAGGAACUGACACCAGUGAAUGCCAGAUAUGGGGAAAGGUGUCUGCCCAGUUAUCUCCUAGCUAGUUGAGCCUUCUAUAAAGAAUGUUAUUAAAAAGUCUGCAAGAGGCUGCACGGUGGGUUUCUUCCCUCUUUCCAGAGGAGAGGGUGGUUGAGGAGGAAACAUGCUUUGUCCACAUUCCUUUGUGUAUGGUGGGACUAUCACCGGUGAUGGAGGACCUGUGAGUACUUGGAACCUUAUCGGCCCUCAAACUUCAAUUGGCCCUUGCAUGUCAAUAGCAAGAAUGGUUAUUUCCUG